rnacentral:rRNA from 1 species
UAGAGUUUGAUCCUGGCUCAGGAUGAACGCUGGCGGCGUGCUUAACACAUGCAAGUCGAACGGUGAAAGCGGAGCUUGCUCUGCUGGAUCAGUGGCGAACGGGUGAGUAACACGUGAGCAAUCUGCCCCUGACUCUGGGAUAAGCGCUGGAAACGGCGUCUAAUACCGGAUACGAGCUGCGAAGGCAUCUUCAGCAGCUGGAAAGAACUUCGGUCAGGGAUGAGCUCGCGGCCUAUCAGCUAGUUGGUGAGGUAACGGCUCACCAAGGCGUCGACGGGUAGCCGGCCUGAGAGGGUGACCGGCCACACUGGGACUGAGACACGGCCCAGACUCCUACGGGAGGCAGCAGUGGGGAAUAUUGCACAAUGGGCGAAAGCCUGAUGCAGCAACGCCGCGUGAGGGACGACGGCCUUCGGGUUGUAAACCUCUUUUAGCAGGGAAGAAGCGAAAGUGACGGUACCUGCAGAAAAAGCGCCGGCUAACUACGUGCCAGCAGCCGCGGUAAUACGUAGGGCGCAAGCGUUAUCCGGAAUUAUUGGGCGUAAAGAGCUCGUAGGCGGUUUGUCGCGUCUGCUGUGAAAACCCGAGGCUCAACCUCGGGCCUGCAGUGGGUACGGGCAGACUAGAGUGCGGUAGGGGAGAUUGGAAUUCCUGGUGUAGCGGUGGAAUGCGCAGAUAUCAGGAGGAACACCGAUGGCGAAGGCAGAUCUCUGGGCCGUAACGACGCGAGGAGGAAAGGUGGGAGUACUU